AAAAACAAUAUUUUGUACGUUAGUCAAUACACAACUCUUGACCAUAGUACAAGUAGAAUCAUUUUCAUAUAGUAUCUUCUGGAUAUUCCAACAUCUGAAUUUACCUAUUAGUAUUUCUUAAACCAAUAAAGAGAGCGAAAGAACAAAAAACUAUACAAAGCAGUUGAAAAGGGCUUGAAUCAUCAGCUCGACACAAAACCCCACAAGAACAAUUAACAAAAAGGCUAAGGUACCGAUCUGAAAGAUCUCACAGCUGCUGAAAGCUAGUUUAAAUCAAAUAAUAACAAAUAAUAAAAAUGAUUCAAUCAUUAACAAUACAUAUUUAUAAGUAAACGUUUAAAAGUCUGAGUUUCCAAAAUAUACGUCUUUUUGCAAUCAUUUGCUUAAGCGGAGCACUAUCCAAUAAUAGGAACUGAUGUGUUGCAGUGAAUCACUUGUGAAGAAAGGCUAUGCAAUGGUCGUCGUCUUAGCUCUUGAGGAUUCUCACAUACAAUUAAUCUUGACAAAACAUCUCCGUGUAUAAAGGAAUGAUAUGAUGAAACAAGAUGACACAUAUGAUAAUCACAGACCCAAGGAUUUGAAGACAUCACUAGGAUAUA
rnacentral:lncRNA from 1 species